rnacentral:rRNA from 1 species
AAAUUGAAGAGUUUGAUCAUGGCUCAGAUUGAACGCUGGCGGCAGGCCUAACACAUGCAAGUCGAACGGUAACAGGAAUCAGCUUGCUGAUUUGCUGACGAGUGGCGGACGGGUGAGUAAUGUCUGGGAAACUGCCUGAUGGAGGGGGAUAACUACUGGAAACGGUAGCUAAUACCGCAUAACGUCGCAAGACCAAAGAGGGGGACCUUCGGGCCUCUUGCCAUCGGAUGUGCCCAGAUGGGAUUAGCUAGUAGGUGGGGUAACGGCUCACCUAGGCGACGAUCCCUA